AACGCACGGGCUCCUUCUCUGAUGCGUGCUCUCUUCGAUCCGUAAUGGCGCCGCCGUCGCCAGCGGAUAGUCUUCUUCUCCGGCCACCAUCCGUCGCCCUUUUCUCCUUCCCCUCCCCAUCCGGCCUUAAUCUUCUCCGGCGUCACCCGUAGCCUUCUCAAUCCCCAACCUCCGCUCUCUGAUUUGGAUCGAAGUUGGAUUUGGAUCAAAGUUAGAGUCCGUGUCCUUCUCCAGCACAAAGCCAUGGAGCAACUUGGCUGCCAUAAGAAGGAAGGAGCCUCGACCGGAAUCUCUAUCAGGUUGCGUCGCCAGAACCUCCAUCGAGCUCCGCCGAGUUCGCCGGCUGAAGAAGAACAUCCGUCAAGUCGUACAAUGUCGCCUCCGCUGAGUUCGCCGGAGGAACAACAUCCGCCGUCCGAACGUGCUUCACCAGAGAGGAAGCAGAUUUGGGGCUGCGCUCUGGUCUGCGGCGAGCUGGAUAGGGGAAGCAUUUAAUCCGAUCAAGGCCACCAACUAGACAAGAAGAAUCGAAUAACUCUUUACUGAUUACCAUGGGAGGCAAGCCAAAAUCUGACAGCGAGCACAGCUAUUGUGGUGCCUGGUUGCAUCCCUUGAGCUUCUACCUGUACGGAGCCGUCGAGGAGGAGGAGGGUUCCGGCGGCGGUCGUUGACGCGGGCUUGACGGAGAGGACGGGAUUUGGCGACGGCGCUCCGGAAAAAAAAGCGUGCUCCGACGGCGGCUCCUCCUGGCCAGAUCGAGGCACGGAGACCUGUGGGAUCCCCUCCUUCGGCAGGACCUCCUCAUCUGAUUGCAUUCUUGCACGGACAGAGAGUGGAACACCACCUUCAGUUUCUCAUCUGAUCCCACUUCUGGACUCCAUGAAUGAAGCCUGGUGAGUAUCCAAUGACAUGGGAAAUUAAAGAUUUGCAUGAGACUGACGAUUGUGAUUUUGGCCCUGUACUGAAUAAUUUUGGGAGUGACUGGGUGAUGAUGAUUACAAGCCAGGCGGACUGCAUGUGAUGAGUUAAGGCACAAGAACUACGACCAUUUUAGCUCCAGCAGCUCGCUGGCACAGCCACAUAAUCUCGCGCAUUCAAAUUGCUAGCUACACGAAAUACGCCCAGAUCUACGAGUAGAAAUCCAAGGUGGAACACCUUUGCAAUCUUAUCAAGCUUUACGCUAAACUGGCACUCUUACUUGAUCCCAUAUUACUCCUUCGAACAAUUUGUGCGCAAAGUUGAGGAAGUUGGGGCCAGUAAUCGUGUUAGAAUAAACCUCUUUCUUCCUUUAAGGAUUUGUUUCCAUACUGUGGGGCAGCAGGAUCUGAGUCCCACUAUGAGGGAUUGACCUUCAGAGAUAAGCUACCGGCGUCAUACUGCCCCCACAAGGUAAACCCGCCAUUUAUCUUGGGUCCCAAAUUGCAGUGUUUGUCCCUCUUCAUUUGUUAUUAGUCUAUGUGAUUUCAUUCUUUAGCAUCUGAUGUGGUAGACCGUUUAAUCAAUUUUCACGGAUAGUCUAGCUCAUGUGUUUCUGAUCUAAGUGGUGCCACAUGUUUCUUCAUGAAGCCUCACAAGAAAGUUAGAUUCUUCUCCAUAUCUUCAAAUUGGCUGUUUAUUGAUGAGCAAGGUUGAUUUGAGCCGUCUUCUGUAAGUGCUCCAUUGCAACCUUAAAACCAGUCGCAAAAUUGUUUUGGUCCAUGCACGACUUAAAUAACCUACUGUGUAUUUAACUAUUGAUGUGUAUAGGCAAUUAUUUACUUCUAUAUACGGAUAUCUUCGUUACAUCAAAAAAUGUUUUGUACUAAUUGGGAUUGCAGAGAGCAUGGACCACCGUCGUUGUCUUUGGUGUGUUGCUUGCAUUUUUCUAAUUCUUGCACUACAGAGACCUCAGUCUAUCCAUGUAGGUCAUGCCUUCUAAUCAGUCUUGUGACUCUUAUGUACGCGUAUGCUCUUGCAUUACUUACUAGAUCUUGUUAUAUACGAUGAUCCAUUGUCAGUUAUACAAAGGUUCUGAUUUUAAAAUUUUGUAAUGUUCAGUUUAGAUUUAAUUUUAUUCCACCUCUUUUUGAAUGGACAAUGUGUGUGCUGUUUAAAUGAUCACUAUGUGAAAUUCAUAGGCAUUGUGAGGGCAUGGAGAAAGGAUUCGAUUUUUGAUUCUUUUUUUCAGGGUUCAGAGCUAUUACCUGCUACACCUACACACAUGGAAAACUUAAACUUAGCAGUCCAAAAUUAAGCAGCAAACUUUAUUGCCGGUCAUCUGAAAAUUCAGUGACAACUGCUGACACAUGAGCUUCAUUUUUUAGUAGAGUUAGUAGAUGAUGCAGAUGACAGUUCUACCUCUCUGACUGAAACAAGAACUUUCUGACCAAGGGCAUACCUGCAGGACAGCAGGAAGUCCUAAGGCACGCAUCACGCAUUCACAAAAGAUAUGGAGCUGAUGUUUUAGAUCAGUACUAGCAUAUUGGUACGUAGUGUGUGUGUGUGUUUUAGCAUAGUAGUACUAGCAUACCUGCAGGAGGUCCUAAUUUUGUUCAGUUCUAUACAAAUUUGAGUUGGUACGUAGUGUUGAGAGGAUCCUAAAAUAUUGUACUACAUAAUCUCUUUCCAGGUUCUUGAAACUUGCACUCUUCUGUUGAAUUUCGCAUUUUGGUCGAUCUGUACUGCAUCUUUUAUUGUUGUCAGCCUAGAAUUAUAUCACAUUUUGAUCUUUAACAGCCAGAUUCAUAAUUAUACCUUAAUACUAAUUUAACUGCAUGAUUUAAUAGUGGCUGCAAUAUUAUUUCAUGGUCCACAACAGAACUAAAUGUAUCAAAAUGAAACAUUCUUCUUCCCAUGUGUCAAAGUAUUAAGCAAUCAAAUAUUUUAGUAUCUAAAUUGUUAUGUUUAGGAUGAUAUAUUUCAAAGAGCCACAUGUGCCCAAAACAAUGGUGCCAAGUGCGUAGACAAUGAAGCAUUACCUUUUCUUGCUAAGGUACAUAUGUUGAUUUCAGUUGUGUGCCACGUGUUUGCUGUAAUGUCUAGAGGAGAUUAUGAAGUGGUUUUCUUUGGCAAUUAAACAAAUAAACCUCCCGCCCUUAGAUUUUGAAGAACGUUUGUUUAUGCAAGGGUUUGCUGGGAAAAACCAUCUCCAGAAAAAUAGGGCCAAAUUUGAAUUCUAGUAGAGUUGAAAAGACGCAUAGAGCAAGAGACAAGAAUAAUACUUCCUUGUGGGCUUCCUGAGAAUCUACAAUGAAGAAUAAGAAGGGGGCAGUAACUAAGUAUGCAUGUCAUAGCUGAUUCUAUUGAAAAUAGUUAUACAUGCAUUUUCAGGAAAAUUAAGCUUUGAACCUUACCAACGCCCGUGAUUUGAAUCUUGGUGCUUGUGAAUUCUGAACGAAGUACAAGCAGCCAAUCUAUCUGAAUGAAUUUGUUGAUGAUUUGCAUGGUUAUUCUUCAUUCUGGGUGCAUGACUAUUCUUGGGUUUGAGCCUUGCAUGCAGCAAUGAGAUCUAAUUGCACUGUUUUGUGAGCCAUUUAAACUGAAAUCAAUCAUCCAUUUUAUUCAGAAAGUUUAUACCAAUACUUUGGAUCACUACUGUACUUCUAUUUCGACAACAAAAUUUGUUUCAACUUGCCAUGUGUCAGUUCACCAACAGCACCAAGACCAUGCAACUUGGAACAUCAAGUAAGAGCAUAUCCAUGUUUACUUAUUAUAUUCUUUGAGAAAGCUAUGGGAUUUACAAAUUGAAAAUAUGAAAUGUUCGAACAAUGUUGUUCGUUUGAUUACUUGCAAAGUUGUUUGAGUGGUAUUUUUUUCAACUGCUUAAGCAUUUAUUUAUUUAUUUAUUUUUCACCCGGUGCAACGCACGGGCACUUUCGCUAGUAAUAAUAAUAAUAAAGCACGCAUUGAGGCUCUCGGGUUCACCGUCACGUCCUUUUUACACAAAGGUCUCUGUGGUUUUUAGGAAUUGAACCCACAGUCCUUUUGUAAACCGAUCAAGAAAACGUUUCGGUUUUACAAAUUAACCCUGUAUUUAUCUGUAUUCAAUCCGCGAUCCUUUCUUCCAACACUUAUCCCCUCGCUCCAGCGCUAACCCUUCUCGGCCCCAAGCCGCUCGCCCUGGUCGCCGCCGCCGGCCUCCAUUGCAUCGCCUCGAUGCCCGACGCCCGAAUCUCGCAGCCCUCCACCAGAUGAAAGCCGCCCGCCACCACAAGACCACUGCUUCCUAUCAGACCCAAGGUGGUCUGGGCGCUGAUCCUCUCUCCCAGAGGCGCCACCAUCUCCGAGCCGCCGUGGAUCUUGUGCUGAUGGGACUGACCGCCUUCGUGGCCCUAGCAAGCUUGCUAGCCGCUGCCGGAGACCCAAAUCCCCGAGCUCUACGAGCAAGCUAGCCGUCCUAGAAGGCUCGCCAAAAAACCUCUCCAUGCCCCCUUGAGCGGUUGAGCCCCGCAGCCACCUCGCCAUCCGCCGUUGGAGCCGAGCGCGCAGGCGGACGGGGACGAGGACAGCGUGUACAGUGGAGGUGUUUCAGGGACGAUGAGGAGUUCCAACAAAUGGAAGAAGCGGCGGCACUCCCCGACAACCUCCUUCAUGGAAUCCUCGAGCGCCUCGACCCACGCAAGGGGGCGACCCUUCCCCCACCGUCUCUUCCUCCUGCACCUUAACGUCGGCCACUUCCCUGGCGCUGCACCGGUCGAGAUCAUGGGCACAUUCACGGCUGCAACACAUCCAUGUAUCCUCCUCCAGCCGGGUGCAAAUGCGAUUGCAAGAUUGCUAUCGAGGCCCCCUCAUCUUAUGCAUGUCGGUCCUCAAGGGAGCAUAUAUACUCAUUGCUUCUCAUUCCAUAUUUGUUCAUUACGUUUAUUUGCUAAAUUGAUGCUCAUGAUUGACUAAUUGUGGUUCGCACUUCAGAAUCAUUUGCAUCUCUUUGUUAUCAAUUUUUGUUGCAACUGUUCUGCCUGCAAGUAGGGAUUCUUGGCCGCCCUCACAUCCUUCUCCUAGCCUCGUCCAGGCAAGGAAACAGUGACCCAGAGUCAAUGACUAAGUUGAUUCAAGCCGGCUCCUUACCAUGGUGAAGCUGUGAUGUGGGAUGGCGCCAUGGCGCCAUUGGUGCUACUUCUGAUUGCUCACAAUUUCAGUUUGGAUGAUAUGAUACAAGCCCCUGUUUCAGUUUAUUUUUUCUGAAAAAUUAUUGUUACUAGCCAAGGAUUGAACCAUGAAAUUUCAUGUUGCUGAAUACAUAUACCUAAACAUGGUGGCUUCAACUUGGUUACAGUAAUUCUUGGGCAUGAUGCUGGAGUAAUUCUUGAAGUUUCAUGUAUUCUGCUCUUUCUUCAGUUAUCAAUUAGCUUAAUUGCAUACACAUGAAUAGAUAUGCUUGCUGCACCUAGCAAAAUAAGAUUAGGAGGUGUAUUCGGUGGAGUGCAUUUAAUUGGUUUUGACAUCUCUGUAAUAUACUGUAUCCGUCGACUUUGCAGCCGUCGUCUCCGUCGACUUCGCCUUCGUCGUCUCCGUCGACUUCGCCGCAAGGCCAUCUGCCAUCGCCUCCGCCGACUUGGCCGGAAGACCAUCAACUAUCGCCUAGACCUACUUUGCCGCAGAUGUAAUUUUGCUUCAGGGUUGGCCAUAGCAGUUCUUCGGAGCCACUAGGCAUCAAUUGACAGAGAAGAAACUGUUUCUAUUAGUCCCUUUGAUUUUCUUCCGCUUGGGGAGUUCCUACAUGCUUUUAAGUAUCUGUUUUCACGGGAUAAUUCAGUCCCUAUGUUUCUUGAGAGGAUAGGACUAACUGAAAAAUAUUAUAUGGCUCACAACAUGAAGAAGCAUGCAGUAAUUUAUAAGUUUUUCUGUUUGCUAAA